UUUAUGACACUAUACUAUUGAAAGUAAAAAUAAAAUCCUAUUUCUGGCCAUAGACCUUUGUAUACCAGCAAUCAUAAAAAUAUCAUAUGGUAUUUUUAUAAUUAUUGAAAGCAAGAUUUGAACCUGUGUGACAGAGGUUUGAACUCAAAGUAAAGUGACAGGCUGAAGUGCUGCUGAAUCUUCUCACCUCAGUGGGGGAGGGGCCCCAGGAGGUCUGGAAUUUGGAGAAGCCAGAAGGUUCUGACUGAGAGGCAGUUAUCUCUCUCAAUCUUUAGAAGCCUAGGAGGAAGGGAGGUCUGGUCAAAACUUUCUCCUGAGGAGAUAUUCACCUUUUUCCUCUCCUGGAGACAGGACAUCCUCCCCCUCCACCAAUUCCCAACUGAAGUGAUAGCUGAAGAAGACAUUGAGCCUCUGUUAAACUUACCUCACAGCUCCUGGUGCCUUGGAUCUGAACUGUGCCAGUUGGGUCAAGACCAGGGCAAGGAAGCAUACCAAAUGUUGAUGAUGCGAAAAAAAAGCAAAAAUAGUCUCUCCGCCUAA
rnacentral:lncRNA from 1 species